UUUUUUUUUUUCAAUUUGCUAUAACUCGAUUAUCCAAAAUUCGAGUUUAAAAUUGAAACUCGAUUUUUAGAAAAUCGAAUUUCAAAACAGGGGCAUUUCUCUAAUUAGUUUAAAAUAUGAGGCAUUUUGUUGAAAAAUUUUGGUGAAAGGGGCAAAUGCCCAUUUUCUCCCUGGCUCCCUGCUGAGUCCCUUAAUUCGUGAAGAGAACAAGUUGGCCUGCGGUGUGAAAGCUGGCCUUGAAAAUCUAAAGAGCAUAGUUUCCACAAUCAAAGAUGUACUUCUUGAAAAGAAGGCUGAUGAUAGUGUUGCGGUCAAAGGUUGGCUCAAAAAGCUCAAAGAUGUCCUCCAUGAUGUUGAUGACGUCUUGGAUGAUUUCUCCACUGAAGCUUUGCAGCGUAAUGUGAUGGCUGGAAAUAAGAUGACGAAGGAGGUACAUUUUCUUUUCAACUAUAUUAUGUGUCCUGCCAAAUUGAAAAGGUACAUCUUAAAUUGAUAAUCUUCAAUGAGGUGGUAAUGGAUCAUAAGAUUGUUGGUGCCCCAAAUAUUCUAACCUGGACCAGAAGGAUCUCACCCCGUUAGCUGCACAGUUGACAACUUCAAGUGCAAGGCAAAUUGGGGCUUGCUCCAUUGAGAUGGCUUUUGAGACUUCCACAACAAAGAACCUCUUCGGUGUGCUGUUAUCUCUACAUAGCAUGGUAUUAGUCAUCCUUGAAGUAGUCUCUCAAUUCUACGUAAGGCUGCUUAGGAUACCACAAUAUUCCAAGCCAUGGGCAAUUACAUAUAUGAGACUUGAACACUUACAUUUUGUGCAGAGGCUAGGUGUGUGUUCGUGUUAUAGUAUCAGUUUCCCAAUGAUAUUUCUACAUCAGCAUAAAAUUUAGCUAUCGCAUAUCAUAGAAAGGGCCCUAGUUAGUUGGGUUCCCUUUCAUCAUGGCCUUUAUCAUCAACUGCCUUCCUCCGUGCUUGGCAACAUUACUCCACAUCGGUGCCUGUUUGGAUUGCCACCUGUAGUGGCUGGUGAUUUGCUGAUCAAAGAGCAGAUUUUGGAGAGAUUAUUCAUCAAUCUAGUGGUUGGUGAAUCACUGAUCAAAGAGUAUUAUUAAGUAGCUAUCCUUGUGGAGAAGUAUUAGUUGUCUUCAACAGUUUUGCUACAUAUAUGAGGACAGUUGAACGUAUCUUUUCAUUUCGUUAGGAAAGUUGAAUUUCCAAUUCUCAGCAUGUUGAGUACUGCAUCGAAUAUUUCAUUUCUUCUUCAAAGUUUAUGAUUUGAAUGUCCAGCUUUGUGUGACAUUUUUUUUGGUGGAUCAA